rnacentral:rRNA from 2 species
UAAAAAGCUCGUAGUCGGAGGUGUGUCUCGGACGGUCGGUUCGCCGCUUGUCGGUGCUCAACUGGCCGGUCCGGACGUCCUGCCGGUGGGGCCGCGAGGCUCCGUUAUCCUUCUUUGGUCCUCUUCACCGAGUGCCUUGGUGGGCCGGCACGUUUACUUUGAACAAAUUAGAGUGCUCAAAGCAGGCCGUUGGUCGCCUGAAUACUGUGUGCAUGGAAUAAUGGAAUAGGACCUCGGUUCCAUUUUGUUGGUUUUCAGAACUCGAGGUAAUGAUUAAUAGGGACGGACGGGGGCAUUCGUAUUGCGACGUUAGAGGUGAAAUUCUUGGAUCGUCGCAAGACGAACCGAUGCGAAAGCAUUUGCCAAGAACGUUUUCGUUGAUCAAGAACGAAAGUUAGAGGUUCGAAGGCGAUCAGAUACCGCCCUAGUUCUAACCAUAAACGAUGCCAGCUAGCCAUCCGCCGAAGUUCCUUCUAUGACUCGGCGGGCAGCUUCCGGGAAACCAAAGCUCUUGGGUUCCGGGG